GCAGUCGAGGGGCAGCGCAGUAGCAAUACGGGCGGCGACCGGCAAACGGGUGCGUAACACGUACGCAACCUUCCCGUUACUGGGGGAUAGCCCAGGGAAACUUGGAUUAAUACCCCAUAUUACAGAGUUCCGGCAUCGGGAUUCUGUCAAAGUUCCGACGGUAACGGAUGGGCGUGCGGUUGAUUAGGUAGUUGGCGGGGUAACGGCCCACCAAGCCUACGAUCAAUAGCUGAUGUGAGAGCAUGAUCAGCCACACGGGCACUGAGACACGGGCCCGACUCCUACGGGAGGCAGCAGUAAGGAAUAUUGGGCAAUGGACGCAAGUCUGACCCAGCCAUGCCGCGUGAAGGAUGAAGGUCCUCUGGAUUGUAAACUUCUUUUAUCUGGGGCGAAAAAAGGCCAUUCUUGGCAGCUUGACGGUACCAGAUGAAUAAGCACCGGCUAACUCCGUGCCAGCAGCCGCGGUAAUACGGAGGGUGCAAGCGUUAUCCGGAUUCACUGGGUUUAAAGGGUGCGUAGGUGGGCAGGUAAGUCAGUGGUGAAAUCCUCGGGCUCAACCCGGGAACUGCCGUUGAUACUAUCUGUCCUGAAUGCCAUGGAGGUAAGUGGAAUAUGUCAUGUAGCGGUGAAA
rnacentral:rRNA from 1 species